AAGUCCUGUAACAGUCUUAUCAUUUCUCAGAGAAUCCAAUGAUUCCUGAGAAUAACCAAUUUUUAACUUCAAACCAAAUACAGAUUUAAACUUCUAGUAGCAAUUCCAUAAUAUUAAUGCACAGAUAUUUCUAAAAUCUUACUCCCAAAUGCAUCAUAUAUCAUUUAAAUUUAAACACACAGUAAAUUAGGUCACAUUUUUGGGAGAAAACUCUUCUUUCCCCUUAAAAACUCUUCUUUUAGCCUACCCAAAAUCUUUGAAAUGGCAGUAAACUAUUUGAGACCCAAGAUUUGAUAAGGCCCCUGAAAGCAAAAUGGCAAUGGUUCCUACCUUCCCUACUAAAUCUUAUACUCUUCCCCAUGUGGACUGCUGCACUGGGAAGGGGGAAAGAUAUUAAAGUAUAAACUGGAUUUCCCUAGAUUUCCUCAAGCCAUGGGGAGAUAGACCCUUUUAAAGAAUUCAUAGUCCCCAGAAAAGAGUUUUGGGAAUCUGGGGAACAUUGGGACCCAUCUAAAGAAAAAUUGAGGCUGACUCCAAAGCAUGUUUUUUUUGGGAAACUUAUCAUUAUGAUGAAAUGUGAUUUGGGGAUCCCCUGACCUUGGGGCUUCGGUUCUAAAUGGUCAAUGGUCCUAGGUCUUCUGGCUUGGAAUCUGCCUUAGGAAACAGCACACCCAAUCUGUCUGAUUUUGAUUAUUCCUUAGAUAGCUUUUGGCCUUAGGAAACUCCCACAGACAAACUCUUGAGACAAUAGUGAAUAAGAUCACUCUUCAAUUGAUUGCUGAGAGGUCUUUGGUACUUCUUCUCAAAUCUCUUCAUUCAUUGAGAGGAUUUAAAGGAAAUUGGCUUCUGGAAAGUGAGGUAGUAAUGGCUAAAAUAAUAUUCUAAUGCAGUAAGAUUAUUUAUUUGUCUUUAUAGCUAGAGUAAUGGAAGAAACGAUUAGUAUUUCAAAGAUUUAAUUUACACUAUUGUGUCUCAUUUGAAUCAAGAUGUGUUUCUAAAAAGUUAUGUAAAAGUUAUACUGGAAUGGAGUAGAGCUGUUCAUUGAAAGGAACCCUAAAUUUAUUUUUUUUUAAAAAAGGAAAGAAUCCUUUCUCAUUUUGGAUAAUGAUUGUUAACAAUUUUUUAAUUCAAAUUUUCAUGUUAGAUUUUCUUAAGUGCAAAACAUAUCUGUGAAUAGAAUAAUACACAAUAAAACUUUUUUUUUAUUUUUGCUAGCUUUAGGUUUGGUUGCUUUGUUAGUUAGCUUGUGUUCCAGGAAAGAUUUCUGUGUGUGUUAAAGUAUUCAAAAAAGUAAGGAAUUUGGUCCCCAGCUUGGUAGCUACAUCUUAAAGAUGUAUUUAACCUUAAAAUAUGUAUUUUAGACUGGAAUAAUUUGAACAAGUAGAAGUUAUGUACACUUGCCACAAGAGGGCACUCAAAGAAUGUUAAUACCAUUUAUGCCAUUCUAAUUUUUUUUUUUUUUAAAUCAAGUAUUUGAAGUAUGGCUUAUUAACUAAUUUUCUAUUUUACCUUCCUUUCUGUUCUAGGUAAUAGGUGUUAUAGGAAGAGCUGAACUUUUAUCAUCAAUCUUUUUUCUAAUUGCAUUUUUCUCAUAAACAGAAUCUAAAGAUCUGAAUAAUAUCCUAAGUUUGAUAAUCCAGCAGCUGUAAAUCCAAUUCCCACAAGUGUGCUUUAAAAAAGCUGUCCUGGCUUUGUCUAUCUAUAUAUAUCAUCUUGCAGUGAUCUAUAAGGCAAGAUCAUUCUUAAAAAUGCUUCACAGAAACUGGGACUAGGAAUCUGAAUAUACCUUGUUUAUGUUUAUCUUAAAGGUAAAUAAAAAUACCAAACUGCAAUAAUGUGGGUCAUGUUUUGGAAAAUGAAAAGAAUUUUGAGAGUCUUAAAAUACUUCCUAACAAACAACACAUGUUCAGCCAGGUUGAGGCAUCCAGUUCCAGCUGUUUCUCCAGCAGACCUGUUUCCAUCAUUCUAGACAACUUUUUAAAAACACGAAUGGUUCUCCCAGUAAGACUAUUUUGUUUUAUUCUCUAAUGACUGUUUUGUGGUGCUCUAAGUGCUUGUGUUGAAUCUUUGAAUCCUGCUAUAAAGUUCUAUUGGGAUGUAUGUGAUUCUUUACCUUCAUGAAGACAUAAAGCAGUGAAUUCUCUUUGCUUUUGCUCAUCUAUUCCAAACCUGAACCUCCUCUGAAUUUCAUUUUCAGUUGCUAACUUAAUUCUGGCAUCGGUCAAAAUGAAUUUCUCUUCUCACUGAACCAAGGGUCUUUGGACCUCUCCAUCUCACAAAGUCGCCUGAAAUCUUAGACAUGUCUAUCAUGGGAUACUCCAUGACCAAAGAUCAGGACCAAACAAAUAGUAAAGAGUCAAAGGUGACUGGGGGCCUUGCCUAACUUAGGCCAAUUUUCAUUAGUUGGUUCAUGGGAGACACCAUGAUAUCAGGACAAAGAAGGGCCAAUCCUUCUUCACGUAUAAGUACAGUAACAUAAUGAUACCCAGGGAGUUGAAGCUAAGACAGACCAAGCUAGAAGCUCUUUCUUCUGCAAUUAGCUCACUUCUCUGCCACUGUCACAAUAUGAGAGUAUGAACAAGAAAACACAAAUUUAUUACAUUAUACUAAAACAUAAAAUCCUUUUCACUCUUGAGUCUUUUCAUGACUGAAGACAGGUAAGAAAUGUGUUAUCUCCAAGAGAUCUACAAUAUGAAUUCUUGAAAUUUCUGCAAGUUUUCAGAUCUCAGGGAACACAUUCCCUGGGAUAGUCUCAAUUCUCAAUGCACAACAACAACAACAACAACAACAAUUCUCAAUGCACAUAGAACAUCUCUGCCCCAAACAUAGACUUCCCAUUUUACUUCCAACAGAGAGUUUUUUAAACAAAUGCUUUGUCUUUGGCACCAAGAGUAACUUGUCAAAGGAAAACAAUUUUAGCAAGGAAGAAAAAAAUGGACUUUGUUUAAAGAAAUGAGUGAGAAUGCAUAGGAAACUCCAAAACAAACUUAGAUUUUAUUUUUUUUUUUAAAUAUCAAAAGAUCAAAGCAAGGAUAAGUAAUAGAAGAAAUAUGUGUAUGGCAUGGUGCUAUAAAGAAUAGCUUCAGGAAUGUUAAAUCUCAGAAUGAGCUGAAGUUGGCAAGGCUAGCUAAGGACAAUGUUUUGUCCUUAGGAAAAGUUGUUUUGUUAUUGUUGUUAAUAGUUAAAUUGAAGGGAGAAAAGAGGGAAUGAAAGGGGAAAGCCUUUGCUUGGGGGCAGACAUUGAUAAUUGACAACAGAAAGAAGGCAAAGAUGCUUUUUGCAAAAAGGAAAUAACUUUUCCACUGAAAAAAUUAGGAAACCAGAACCAUUAACAGAGUUGAUUGUCAGUCUAAAUAGGUAUAUAAUAAGAGAGUUUUUAGGUGCCCUCAAUAGAUUCAAGUCACCUAAUAAAAAUGAAUUAUUUCCUCAUGACCUGAAAGAAAUGGCAGUUAUGAUUGUUGAAAUCACUGUGAGUGACAUCAUGGAAAAUGGAAGAGGUACUAUAAGACUGAAGAAGGGCAAGUCUUUUCUCACUUUUAGAAAAGGAAAAGAAAAUAGGGUAUGCAAACUAAAAGCAAGUUAACAGGAUAUUGCUUACUGAGAAAAUCUUAUGAUUAAAGAGAUGAUUGUUAAACAUCUACAUUUCAAAGCAGUGAUUACAAAGGGCCAGCAUAGCUUCAUUAAGAAUAGGUCAUACUAGACUCAUUUUUUUUUUUUGACAGGACUAAUAAACUAGCAGAUAAAGAGAAUGUUUUGGAUAUAGCUUAUUUAAAGUACAACAAAACUUUUGGCUAUGUAUUUUUUAGAAGAUUUUAGAAGAUUAAAAAAAUAUGAUUUAGGUGAUAAUAUAAUCAGAUGUAUUCAGAACUCUCUGGAUGACCAGAUCAUUGCUCAGAGAGAAAUUGUUAAUAUUUCAAUAUUAAUGUUACAGAAGUUUUCAGUGGAGUAUACCCAAGCAUCUAUCCUUAGUCCAGUAUUUUUCUUUUUUUAUAAUUAUAAAUUUUUUUUAUUU